CCUACGGGAGGCAGCAGUGAGGAAUAUUGGUCAAUGGUCGGGAGACUGCACCAGCCAAGCCGCGUGAGGGAUGAAGGUACAGAGUAUCGUAAACCUCUUUUGUCAGGGAACAAAGGCGGGGACGUGUCCCCGGCUGAGUGUACCUGAAGAAAAGCAUCGGCUGACUCCGUGCCAGCAGCCGCGGUAAUACUGAGGAUGCGAGCGUUAUCCGGAUUUAUUGGGUUAAAGGGGGGCGCGGGCGGUAUGUUAAGUCCGCGGUCAAAGCCCGGGGCUCAACCCCGGCCCGCCGUUGAAACUGGCAGUCUCGAGUGGGAGAGAAGUAGGCGGAAUGCGCGGUGUAGCGGUGAAAUGCAUAGAUAUCGCGCAGAACUCCGAUUGCGAAGGCAGCAUGCCGGCUCCACACUGACGCUGAGGCACGAAAGCGUGGGUAUCGAACAGGAUUAGAUACCCUUGUAGUC
rnacentral:rRNA from 1 species